rnacentral:rRNA from 1 species
GACGAACGCUGGCGGCGGGCUUAACACAUGCAAGUCGAACGGGAAGGCCCUGCUGUUGUGGGGUGCUCGAGUGGCGAACGGGUGAGUAACACGUGUGUAACCUGCCCUUGACUUUGGGAUAACUUCAGGAAACUGGGGCUAAUACCGGAUAGGAGCUCCUGCUGCAUGGUGGGGGUUGGAAAGUUUCGGCGGUUGGGGAUGGACUCGCGGCUUAUCAGCUUGUUGGUUGGGUAGUGUCUUACCAAGGCUUUGACGGGUAGCCGGCCUGGGAGGGUGACCGGCCACAUUGGGACUGAGAUACGGCCCAGACUAGUACGGGAGGCAGCAGUGGGGAAUAUUGCACAAUGGGAGGAAGCCUGAUGCAGCCACGCCGCGUGCGGGAUGACGGCCUUCGGGUUGUAAACCGCUUUCGCCUGUGACGAAGCGUGAGUGACGGUAAUGGGUAAAGAAGCCCCGGCUAACUACGUG